rnacentral:rRNA from 1 species
UACGUAGGGCGCAAGCGUUAUCCGGAUUUAUUGGGCGUAAAGGGCUCGUAGGCGGCUCGUCGCGUCCGGUGUGAAAGUCCAUCGCUUAACGGUGGAUCUGCGCCGGGUACGGGCGGGCUGGAGUGCGGUAGGGGAGACUGGAAUUCCCGGUGUAACGGUGGAAUGUGUAGAUAUCGGGAAGAACACCGAUGGCGAAGGCAGGUCUCUGGGCCGUCACUGACGCUGAGGAGCGAAAGCGUGGGGAGCGAACAGG